AUCAAUACAGGGUACAACGGGGCUGAUCACCCUCCGUGCCUGUAAGUUAUGACUGUUUGAGGAUAGAAUUCCGCUAAACCUUUUCGAAAAUGAAAAGAAUGUUCAUAGUAUGUUUCUUAAACCCUAUUCAAGGGUAGAGCCAGAGCCAAAUUUAAAUAAUUUGGAAGAGAUUUGUUAUGUGAAUUUUUUAUCAGUACAGAUUACUUCACAACUUUCGAUUCGUUGUAGAAGUGUUAUGUAAAGAGAAUACUUAUAUUCUUUCAGCUUAUAUAUAAUUGCUAUUACUUGCUGGGC
rnacentral:lncRNA from 1 species